UUUGAUUUCAGAUAUGGGAAAAGCACUUAAGAUGAGCACACGUUUCAGGAACGUUAAAAUUAAGUUGGUGAGGAGGUCUAUCGCUGGCCAUGCGAAGUUUUCUUACCUCAGUCAAGGUCUUCCCCAGCCCAGCUACAAACAGACCCACCCUUCAGACCCUUCUAUUACAUCUCAACCUGCUGAACCUGAUGAUGUGACACCGAGCUGUUCUGAGAGCGCAUACAGUAAGGCAAAGAAGAGAGAGCUUCAUGCCUGGGAUGCAGUCAAGGAUGAGAUGCAUAAGGUGUCGUUUGAAUGUUCAGCACCGAUCACUACCCAGUGUGCUGUCUGCCGAGAACAUGCUGAUUAUAGGUGCAUUGAGUGCAGCUCCACUGCAGUGUUCUGUGAGGUUUGCCUGAAGAGGAUUCAGAUCUUCCUGAAAAGUGAAACAGUGUUUACUAUGAGCCAUCGUCCCUGGGAUUUUUCCUAUAUUUACCUGAAGCCCAUGGCACCCAUGCUGUGUACACAAAGGACAUGAAGAUCAUUGUCAGCACAGGAUGGCUCUGCACCGUUACAGUCAAAAUGUGUGCGUGUGAACCAGAAACCUGUACUCUGCUGAGAUAUGGGCUCUGACCAGCAACAGCCACAAGCCCCAGACAGACAGCCUUCUCCAUCCCUCUGCUAGAGCUUUCUGUUUCUCUGGCACUGGAGUGUCUGGUUUCUGUUGAGGGUUUUUGCAACACCCCAUAUCCCAUUUUAGGCAUCACCACUUCCGACAAAGAAGUUUGGUUGAUAUUUGCCCACAAUUAAAUGAUGGAACCAUUUUCCCAGCAUGUCCAAAGGCGGAUGGAGAAAUGAUUGUCACAUUGGAUGCAAACUUUGGCCUUGUGAGGAAUCAAAGCUCUGGUACAAGUGCGGUUGAUCCAUUACACGGAACCCGCGUGUUUAGAGGAAUACCUGCUAUCACAUCUUGACAGCUCAAAGCCUCAAGAGGACUGCAGUAAGCUGCUCUCAUUCAAGGUCUCCAACAGCUGGAAAGAAAAUGACAUCAAGCCACUGUGAUGUUUCACCCACAUGUACCAGACAUUAUAGACA